CUAAUCCUGGUCGGACAUCAGGAGGUUAGUGCAAUGGCAUAAGCUAGCUUGACUGCGAGCGUGACGGCGCGAGCAGGUGCGAAAGCAGGUCAUAGUGAUCCGGUGGUUCUGAAUGGAAGGGCCAUCGCUCAACGGAUAAAAGGUACUCCGGGGAUAACAGGCUGAUACCGCCCAAGAGUUCAUAUCGACGGCGGUGUUUGGCACCUCGAUGUCGGCUCAUCACAUCCUGGGGCUGAAGUAGGUCCCAAGGGUAUGGCUGUUCGCCAUUUAAAGUGGUACGCGAGCUGGGUUUAGAACGUCGUGAGACAGUUCGGUCCCUAUCUGCCGUGGGCGCUGGAGAAUUGAGGGGGGCUGCUCCUAGUACGAGAGGACCGGAGUGGACGCAUCACUGGUGUUCGGGUUGUCAUGCCAAUGGCACUGCCCGGUAGCUAAAUGCGGAAGAGAUAAGUGCUGAAAGCAUCUAAGCACGAAACUUGCCCCGAGAUGAGUUCUCCCUGAGACU
rnacentral:rRNA from 1 species